AUUUAUUUUUCUUAAAAAGAAAGUAAUACGUGAGAAAUGUACUCUAAUAUAUGAGUAUUAUUUUUGUUUCUUUAAGUAAUCUCAAAAUACACUUUAUGUAAAUCGAAGGUAAGCCCAUAAAUAAUAUGCUUCACUUAUAUCAAACAAUCAUCAAGUAAUUUUGCUCAAAGAAUUUUCAAAUAUAAAACAUUUCCAUUUCACAUAAGUGUCUUACAAUUUUUCAAUAUGAAAUAAUAAAAGAUAUAAAUUCCUACAAAAGACUCUAACCCACAAACGAUCACGAGCUGGUCAAACACUAAAGAUGCAUGUCAUCUAGAGAGUACCCCAAUGACGUCAUCAAUACAUAUCAAAGAGAUCUUUCUCUUCGGAAUCCAAAAAUAAAACUAGACCACCAAUCAGAUACCUAACGUUCUUUAUUUUAAUGUCUCUCACAAUGCCAUUUUCCUUUCCUCAAUGAACUUCAACUAGAGGUCUUAGUAUCCUGCACUAACUGUUGUAAGGGGUGAAUCACUCGUACACAAGUUACCAUCGUGAUGAUGUCACA
rnacentral:lncRNA from 1 species